CCUACGGGUGGCUGCAGUGGGGAAUAUUGCACAAUGGGCGCAAGCCUGAUGCAGCCAUGCCGCGUGUGUGAAGAAGGCCUUCGGGUUGUAAAGCACUUUCAGCGGGGAGGAAGGCGGUGAGGUUAAUAACCUCAUCGAUUGACGUUACCCGCAGAAGAAGCACCGGCUAACUCCGUGCCAGCAGCCGUGGUAAUACGGAGGGUGCAAGCGUUAAUCGGAAUUACUGGGCGUAAAGCGCACGCAGGCGGUCUGUCAAGUCGGAUGUGAAAUCCCCGGGCUCAACCUGGGAACUGCAUUCGAAACUGGCAGGCUAGAGUCUUGUAGAGGGGGGUAGAAUUCCAGGUGUAGCGGUGAAAUGCGUAGAGAUCUGGAGGAAUACCGGUGGCGAAGGCGGCCCCCUGGACAAAGACUGACGCUCAGGUGCGAAAGCGUGGGGAGCAAACAGGAUUAGAUACCCUUGUAGUC
rnacentral:rRNA from 1 species